rnacentral:rRNA from 1 species
GACGAACGCUGGCGGCGUGCUUAACACAUGCAAGUCGAACGGAAAGGCCCUGCUUGCAGGGUACUCGAGUGGCGAACGGGUGAGUAACACGUGGGUGAUCUGCCCUGCACUUCGGGAUAAGCCUGGGAAACUGGGUCCAAUACCGGAUAGGAGCCAUUUUUAGUGUGAUGGUUGGAAAGUUUUUUCGGUGUAGGAUGAGCUCGCGGCCUAUCAGCUUGUUGGUGGGGUAAUGGCCUACCAAGGCGACGACGGGUAGCCGGACUGAGAGGGUGGACGGCCACAUUGGGACUGAGAGACGGCACAGACGCCGACGGGUGGCAGCAGGGGGGAAGAUUGCACAAUGGGCGCAAGCCUGAUGCAGAGGCGCCGCGUGGGGGAUGACGGCCUUCGUGUUGUAGACUCCUUUCGCUAGGGACGAAGCUUUUUGUGACGGUACCUAGAGAAGAAGCACCGGCUAACUACGUG